AUACAUAGCUACAUUAAACAAAGGUCUAGCCAUUUUUCUCCUAAACAAAAAUUAACCUCGAUACAAAUUAAGAUGAUAUGAUUCUAGUUAGGUUAACAACACCAAUUAGGCUAAUGCAUUUCUAAAGCUCCCAGAGUUUGUGGAAUUCAAGAAGGCGGAAGAUCAGCCACUACAAAGCAGCGUACCUUCUCCAGCUAUGUUUUGCUUUGCUGGCUCUCACGCCUCCAGCAUUAACCUGCCUACAGCAGCUGAAGCUGUGCCCCCUGCCAUGGGGCUCACAAACUGCUCUUCCCCAAAAUACUUUAGGAGCAGGGUUUCCUCUGUUGGCGUGAGCAAAAUACCUGCAGGGAUGGAGGAACCCUGGCCGUAUAAAGGGAAGGUAAGAAUUUAGCCCUGUUAGCUCACUGCUGUGAUCAAGGUGAAGAGCUGAUUUUGCCGUGUCAAUCUUAACAUUUCCUUGGUCUUCUCAGUUAUUUGCAGGCAUUUGCUCUUGAUGUUUCUGAGGCUGACCUCCCCUCCUGCCUCCCAUCCCUGAGAGCUGCCUGGCCGGCUCCAGCACCUCCCCAACCCACCACGACACCUCUGCAGCGACGGACUGAACGGGGGUGAAAUCCCUUCUUUACCAAGACAGGCACCUGGCAGUUGAACCAUGAGGAAACUUUUCUCUGUACACCAAGGUCUGAAGGAACAAGUUGAGGAUCUACAAAAUCAGGGAUUGCUCCUGAGAGCAAAGGAACGACUUCCAGGCUGUGGUGCUGAUGACUUCUGUGAGGUUUGGUUUGCAUCAACUGGAUCUUACUGUGUUCAAGACAAGGAGACAAAGGUGGUGGUCUGGUGAGCUGUCCUGCUGGGAAUACUGGGACUCCGUGGUGACUGACUGCUCAAUGUGAUGUGACAGCAGCAGAGGUGUGGCUAGACCAGGCUUGCCUGAUGCGGAGGUCCGAGCGCUUUCCAGUGUCACUGGACAAAAAGAGGUUCUUUACUGCGUUUGAUGACAGACAAAAAGGACAGGUGGAGGCCCAGCAGCCUUGUGGCCACUGCAGAACACCAGAUCCCCACCUGGCACAGCUCAGGGAUGAGGACCACAGCGGCUGGCCAGCUGAAGGUGUAAUCCAAAGAGCUGCCUGGCCUCUUCAGCAAGGGGUGUAGGACCUCGCCAAACCGGGACCUGGAGAUGAACAAAAGAGGCAAGACACGGCAUGCUUUGCACGGCAGAGAAUAUCUUCCAUUCGCAGACCCCAUCAGACUUGGAGAUCUUAUAGAAGGUUUCGCCCGAGCCGACAGGGAUACGGACCACACCUUUGCUGCUUUCCAUGCUUUGGCUAGCAGGAUGG